rnacentral:lncRNA from 1 species
GUCCCUGGUGUGAUAUCAAUUUUAAAUUCAACCUCACAAUCUGAAGGCAAUCCGGGUAGUUCAUCUGAAAAAAAAUAUCAGAAAAUUUUUUGACAAUUGGGAUAUCGUCCAACUUUAUCUUUUCCUUCUCGGCAUCUACUACAUGGGCCAAAAAUAUUUUGCAUCCUUUUCUCAAAGCUUUUUUUGCGUUCAUAAUUGAGAUAAUACUCAAAGAUUGUUUGGGUUCCGUAUUAUGAACUUCACCUUGAAAGAAGAAUUACGGUUCAUCCGAAAUUUGAAAUACCACUCUUUUUCUAAAACAAUCAAUAUGAGUAUGGAACGAAGAUAACCAGUUCAUCCC